CCGCGGCUGCUGGCACGUAGUUAGCCGGCGCUUCUUCUGCAGGUACCGUCACUUUCGCUUCUUCCCUGCUGAAAGAGGUUUACAACCCGAAGGCCGUCAUCCCUCACGCGGCGUCGCUGCAUCAGGCUUUCGCCCAUUGUGCAAUAUUCCCCACUGCUGCCUCCCGUAGGAGUCUGGGCCGUGUCUCAGUCCCAGUGUGGCCGGUCGCCCUCUCAGGCCGGCUACCCGUCGUCGCCUUGGUAGGCCAUUACCCCACCAACAAGCUGAUAGGCCGCGGGCUCAUCCUUCACCGCCGGAGCUUUUAACCCCGUCCCAUGCGGGACAGAGUGUUAUCCGGUAUUAGACCCCGUUUCCAGGGCUUGUCCCAGAGUGAAGGGCAGAUUGCCACGUGUUACUCACCGUUCGCCACUAAUCCACCCCGAAAGGCUUCAUCGUUCGACUUGCAUGUGUUAAGCAC
rnacentral:rRNA from 1 species